UGUCACAUGACGAAAGGGAGCAAGAGAGAGAAUGGGAGGUCCCAGACUUUUAUAAACAACCAGAUCUCACGUGAACUGAGUGAGAACACACUUAUCAAUCACCAUGGGGACUCAUGAGAGGACCACCCCCUACCCCAUGAUUCAGUAUCUCCCACUAGGCCCCACCUCUGACAUUGGGGAUCACAUUUCAACAUGAAAUUUGCAGGGGACACACAUCCAAACCAUAGCAUAUGGUUAAGGAAGAUUAAGAAAUUCAAUAGCACAUUGCCUUUAUUAUCAUCGAGGAUGAAGAUGUUACGGUUUUCAUAUGUCAUUAAGUAAACAAAAUGACGUGUGCCACACAUAGUAGCUCAUAGUUCACUGGGAACGCAGUUACUUGUUCAGUCUGUUUUCUACAAAGUCAUGUGAGAUACUGAUUUUUCCUUCGCAUUGUUGAUAUCUGGGUGAAAAUAAGGUAUUUGUUAAAUUGGUAUUUCCCUUUUUUGUGUUUUAAGUGAUAGUGGUGUCAUUCAACUUAUCUUUGCAGUUGAAUGAAGAAUGAAUGACAUUGAGCAUUAUUGUUUUGUUUAUCCAUGUCCAUUAUUAGUUUUUCUUUGCUUUUGCCAGCAGUGUGACUAUUGGCCCUGCCCAGAGCCAUUUGCAAUCUUACAAUAGUUAAGUGUUAGCACUGAAAGAUACUAAUGUUAAGAACAGAUGUCUACUGUCUGAUUAUUGGGAAAAUAUUAGUGUUUCUUAGUAGAAGCAACACAGUUUUUUUUAAUACUAGAUUUCUCAUUCUGAGUCUAUACACAAUUUUCUAUGAAUCAUAAAACUUUGAUAAUUAUGAUAGUCUAAUAUUUUACUAGUUGUAAAAAUGAAACUUAUUUUGCUGUGAUGUUUCACAAUUGAAAAGCCUUUUUUUUUUUUAAGGCGUAGUACUAAUUCUUAAGACAGUGUUUAUCUAAUUGUCCAGUCCCAGGAUUCAUUGGAAUCAGAGACAUUUUCUUAGGGGGUCUAUAAGAAUUUCCUUUAAAAGGCAUCCGUAGGCUGCGUGCAGUGGCUCACGCCUGUAAUCCCAGCACUUUGGGAGUCCAAGGUGGGCGGAUCACCUGAGGUCAGGAGUUUGAGACCAGCCUGGCCAAGGUGGUGAAACCCUGUACUAAAAGUGUAAAAAUUAGCUGGACGUGGUGGCGGGUGCCUGUAAUCCCAGCUACUCAGGAAGCUGAGUCAGAAGAAUCGCUUGAACUUGGGAGGCAGAGGUUGCAGUGAGCUGAGAUUGCACCACUGCACUCCAGCCUGGGAGACAGAGCAAGGCUCUAUCUC
rnacentral:lncRNA from 10 species